rnacentral:rRNA from 1 species
GUUCUUUAAAUNGGACCAGUAUCAACGGCAUCACGAGGACUCAACUGUCUCCUCUCCCAAAUCAGUGAAACUAAUCUCCCUGUGAAAAAGCAGGAAUAACAAUAUAAGACGAGAAGACCCCAUGGAGCUUUAAACUUUAAGCAACUUUUAAUACUACAUUCCUUAAAAUAUUCUAGCUAUGCCCAAUAGUUUUAGGUUGGGGCGACCGCGGAGUAAAACUUAGCCUCCAUGACAAAAGGACAUUUCCUAAUCCAAGAAAGACAUUUCUAAGAAUCACUAACCUGAUGUUUCAUGACCCGACUAUCGAUCAACGAACCAAGUUACCCUGGGGAUAACAGCGCAAUCCAUUUUGAAAGCUCCUAUCGACAAAUGGGUUUACGACCUCGAUGUUGGAUCAGGAUACCCAGGUGGUGCAGNNNNNNNNAAAGGUUUGUUUGUU